CAGGGACCCAGUGGACCAGCAGGUGAGUCCAACUGCUGGUCCUGUGUUCUGGGCUCUUGUACACUGGCAGAACAAUGAGGAUUUGAUUUUGAUUCUUUUUGAGUUCUUGUUUUAUUUCUGGUGCCAGCUUCAUUUGGCUUAAUGUUGUGACCAUUUGGUGAUCUCUGUAAGUGGAUUAAUGGUUUAGAGAUAUUUCUGUUAAGGGAAAGACAAAAGAAAAAUCUGAAACAGCAAGAAGUCCGCUCACCAAGAAGAGGACCCUCACCAGACACUGGAUUUACUGGCAUCUUGAUCUUGGAUUUUCUAGCCUCUAUAACUGUGAG
rnacentral:lncRNA from 1 species